UACGUAGGGUGCAAGCGUUGUCCGGAAUUAUUGGGCGUAAAGAGCUCGUAGGCGGUCUGUCGCGUCGGCUGUGAAAACUCGGGGGCUCAACCCCGAGCCUGCAGUCGAUACGGGGCAGACUAGAGUGCUGUAGGGGGAGACUGGAAUUCCUGGUGUAGCGGUGAAAUGCGCAGAUAUCAGGAGGAACACCGGUGGGCGAAAGGCGGGGUCUCUGGGGCAGUAAACUGACGUGGAGGGAGCG
rnacentral:rRNA from 1 species